rnacentral:misc_RNA from 1 species
CGCACAUUGCGCCCUCUGGUAUUCCGGGGGGCAUGCCUGUUCGAGCGUCAUUACACCACUCAAGCCUCGCUUGGUAUUGGGCGACGGGAUUCCCCCGCGCCCCAAUUUGACCGGCUGGACGUCACCCGACCUCGGCGUUGUGGUACACCAAAACCGCCCACGGGAGGGACGGCCGCGCCGUUAAACUUUCAUCAAAGGUUGACCUCGGAUCAGGUAGGGAUACCCGCUGAACUUAA